ACGGAGAUGGAACAACUUCCAACUUUGUCCGACAUUUGAAGUUGCAUAAAGAACGCUACACCACCACAUGAAAAGAUUGGUGAAGCAGAUGUGAAGAGUGACGAGACGAGGACAGACAUUUGUAUUUGCUGCACCAUUAUUGCAACCUGCAGGUGACUUUAUAAUACCAGUACUCUUCAGCAGUGGAUCAGUGAAGAUCAAAGGGAAAUCUAUUAGAAUGAGAGUCUAAGAGCAGCAGAAAAAGACCCAGAUCAGGACCAGGAUCAGAAUUAUCUUCACUUGAUGAGUAUAUUUACACUGAAAGAGCUCUCUUAUCUCAGGGGGUCACCUUUAUUCUUGUAGAAUGUUAAGUUGCUGUGUACAGAGAGAAAGCAGUUUGGCACUUCAGUUCUAAUAUAAUUUCAAAAAGAUAAAAUAAUAUUCAGGCUACAGCAAGGAUGUAAAACAUGUAUAAAAAAUGACUUGUUAAAUGAUUUUUCCUGAGGUGGGUGAGGCCCCUACCAAUCAGUGGCUGUUGUGUUUACUCGCUCUGCUGUAGUAGUGUUACUGCUGUGUGUGAUAUAUCCAAAACAAAAAUGGUGUAAAACAAGUGUGGUAAUGUGUUCAAUAAAUAAAAAGUGAGUCUCG